rnacentral:rRNA from 1 species
GAUGAACGCUGGCGGCGUGCCUAACACAUGCAAGUCGAGCGAACGGACGAGAAGCUUGUUUUUCUGUUGUUUGCGGCGGACGUGUGAGAAACACGUGGAUAACCUACUUCUAAGACUGGGAUAACUGCGGGAAACCGGAGCUAAUACCGGAUAAUAUUUUGAUCCUCAUGGUUCUAGAAUGAAAGACGGUCUUGCUGUCACUUAUAGAUUGUUCCCCGCUGCAUUGGCUAGUUGGUAAGGUAACGGCUUACCAAGGGGACGAUGGAUAGCCGACCUGGGCGGGGGAUCGGCCACACGGGAACGGAGACGCGGUCAAGGGUACUGAGAGAGGGAGCAGUAGGGAAUGGGACGCAAUGGGCGAGAGCAUGACGGAGCAAGGCCGAGUGAGUGAUGGAGGUGUUCGGAUCGUAAAGCUCUGUUACUAGGGAAGAACACAUGUGUGAGUAGAUGUAGACAUCGUGACGGUACCUAAAUAGAAAGCAACGGCUAACUACGUG